rfam:Triticum aestivum genome assembly, contig: Triticum_aestivum_CS42_TGACv1_scaffold_145900_2BS
AUGCUACUCCCUCCGUCCGAAAAUACUUGUCAUCAAAAUGAAUAAAAGAGAAUGUAACUAGACGUAUUUUAUUUUUAGAUACAUCCCUUUUUGUCCAUUUUGAUGACAAGUAUUUUUGGACGUAAAAAGUACAUU